CAACCUGCCGAUAACUCGGGGAUAGCCUUUCGAAAGAAAGAUUAAUAUCCGAUAGUAUAUUAAAACCGCAUGGUUUUACUAUUAAAGAAUUUCGGUUAUCGAUGGGGAUGCGUUCCAUUAGUUUGUUGGCGGGGUAACGGCCCACCAAGACUACGAUGGAUAGGGGUUCUGAGAGGAAGGUCCCCCACAUUGGAACUGAGACACGGUCCAAACUCCUACGGGAGGCAGCAGUGAGGAAUAUUGGUCAAUGGACGAGAGUCUGAACCAGCCAAGUAGCGUGAAGGAUGACUGCCCUAUGGGUUGUAAUCUUCUUUUAUAUGGGAAUAAAGUAUUCCACGUGUGGGAUUUUGUAUGUACCAUAUGAAUAAGGAUCGGCUAACUCCGUGCCAGCAGCCGCGGUAAUACGGAGGAUCCGAGCGUUAUCCGGAUUUAUUGGGUUUAAAGGGAGCGUAGGUGGAUUGUUAAGUCAGUUGUGAAAGUUUGCGGCUCAACCGUAAAAUUGCAGUUGAAACUGGCAGUCUUGAGUACAGUAGAGGUGGGCGGAAUUCGUGGUGUAGCGGUGAAAUGCUUAGAUAUCACGAAGAACUCCGAUUG
rnacentral:rRNA from 1 species